rnacentral:rRNA from 1 species
GAUGAACGCUGGCGGCGUGCUUAACACAUGCAAGUCGAACGGUGAAGCAGGAGCUUGCUCUUGUGGAUCAGUGGCGAACGGGUGAGUAACACGUGAGCAACCUGCCCCUGACUCUGGGAUAAGCUCUGGAAACGGCGUCUAAUACUGGAUAUGUGAUGUGACCGCAUGGUCUGCAUCUGGAAAGAAUUUCGGUUGGGGAUGGGCUCGCGGCCUAUCAGCUUGUUGGUGAGGUAAUGGCUCACCAAGGCGUCGACGGGUAGCCGACCUGAGAGGGUGACCGGCCACACUGGGACUGCGACACGGCCCAGACUGCUCCGGGAGGCAGCAGUGGGGAAGAUUGCACAAUGGGGGGGAGCCUGAUGCAGCACCGCCGCGUGAGGAAUGACGGGUUUCGGGUUGUAAACCUCUUUUAGCAGGGAAGAAGCGAAAGUGACGGUACCUGCAGAAAAAGCACCGGCUAACUACGUGCCAGCAGCCGCCGUAA